GACGAACGCUGGCGGCGUGCUUUACACAUGCAAGUCGAACGGAAAGGCCCUGCUUUUGUGGGGUGCUCGAGUGGCUAACGGGUGAGUAACACGUGAGUAACCUGCCCUUGACUUUGGGAUAACUUCAGGAAACGGGGGCUAAUACCGGCUAGGAGCUCCUGCUGCAUGGUGGGGGUUGGAUAGUUUCGGCGGUUGGGGAUGGACUCGCGGCUUAUCAGCUUGUUGGUGGGGUAGUGGCUUACCAAGGCUUUGACGGGUAGCCGGCCUGAGAGGGUGACCGGCCACAUUGGGACUGAGAUACGGCCCAGACUCCUACGGGAGGCAGCAGUGGGGAAUAUUGCACAAUGGGCGGAAGCCUGAUGCAGCAACGCCGCGUGCGGGAUGACGGCCUUCGGGUUGUAAACCGCUUUCGCCUGUGACGAAGCGUGAGUGACGGUAAUGGGUAAAGAAGCACCGGCUAACUACGUG
rnacentral:rRNA from 1 species